rnacentral:rRNA from 1 species
AUUGAACGCUGGCGGCAGGCCUAACACAUGCAAGUCGAGCGGAUGAAGGGAGCUUGCUCCUGGAUUCAGCGGCGGACGGGUGAGUAAUGCCUAGGAAUCUGCCUGGUAGUGGGGGAUAACGUCCGGAAACGGGCGCUAAUACCGCAUACGUCCUGAGGGAGAAAGUGGGGGAUCUUCGGACCUCACGCUAUCAGAUGAGCCUAGGUCGGAUUUGCUAGUUGGUGGGGUAAAGGCCUACCAAGGCGACGAUCCGUAACUGGUCUGAGAGGAUGAUCAGUCACACUGGAACUGAGACACGGUCCAGACUCCUACGGGAGGCAGCAGUGGGGAAUAUUGGACAAUGGGCGAAAGCCUGAUCCAGCCAUGCCGCGUGUGUGAAGAAGGUCUUCGGAUUGUAAAGCACUUUAAGUUGGGAGGGAGGGCAGUAAGUUAAUACCUUGCUGUUUUGACGUUACCAACAGAAUAAGCACCGGCUAACUUCGUG